rnacentral:lncRNA from 1 species
UUUUUUGCAGUCAUGUAAUAUAAUAUACUCCAUUCUUACACUCUCAAUUUCUCUCUCUCAUGCCAUUAUUAUACUGAUAACGUUACUAAUUAAAAAAAUAAAUAAAUAACUGGUUCAUUUUUUUUAUUGAAAAAAAAUCGUAUAUAAAGAUUUUCAGUGAUAAAGAUUCACAUAACGGGACACGUGAUAUAUGAGUUAU